UGGCGGACGGGUGAGUAAUGUCUGGGGAAACUGCCUGAUGGAGGGGGAUAACUACUGGAAACGGUAGCCAAUACCGCAUAACGUCGCAAGACCAAAGAGGGGGACCUUAGGGCCUCUUGCCAUCGGAUGUGCCCAGAUGGGAUUAGCUAGUAGGUGGGGUAAAGGCUCACCUAGGCGACGAUCCCUAGCUGGUCUGAGAGGAUGACCAGCCACACUGGAACUGAGACACGGUCCAG
rnacentral:rRNA from 1 species